rnacentral:rRNA from 1 species
UGGGGAAUUUUGGACAAUUGGGCGAAAGCCUGAUCCAGCAAUGCCGCGUGUGUGAAGAAGGCCUUCGGGUUGUAAAGCACUUUUGUCCGGAAAGAAAUCCUUGGCUCUAAUACAGUCGGGGGAUGACGGUACCGGAAGAAUAAGCACCGGCUAACUACGUGCCAGCAGCCGCGGUAAUACGUAGGGUGCAAGCGUUAAUCGGAAUUACUGGGCGUAAAGCGUGCGCAGGCGGUUUGCUAAGACCGAUGUGAAAUCCCCGGGCUCAACCUGGGAACUGCAUUGGUGACUGGCAGGCUAGAGUAUGGCAGAGGGGGGUAGAAUUCCACGUGUAGCAGUGAAAUGCGUAGAGAUGUGGAGGAAUACCGAUGGCGAAGGCAGCCCCCUGGGCCAAUACUGACGCUCAUGCACGAAAGCGUGGGGAGCAAAACAGGAUUAGAUACCCUGGUAGUCCACGCCCUAAACGAUGUCAACUAGUUGUUGGGGAUUCAUUUCCUUAGUAACGUAGCUAACGCGUGAAGUUGACCGCCUGGGGAGUACGGUCGCAAGAUUAAAACUUAAAUGAAUUGACGGGGUCAUAGCUGUUUCCU